UGGGGAAUAUUGCACAAUGGGCGCAAGCCUGAUGCAGCCAUGCCGCGUGUGUGAAGAAGGCCUUCGGGUUUGUAAAGCACUUUCAGCGAGGAGGAAGGGUUCAGUGUUAAUAGCACUGUUCAUUGACGUUACUCGCAGAAGAAGCACCGGCUAACUCCGUGCCAGCAGCCGCGGUAAUACGGAGGGUGCAAGCGUUAAUCGGAAUUACUGGGCGUAAAGCGCACGCAGGCGGUUUGUUAAGUCAGAUGUGAAAUCCCCGCGCUUAACGUGGGAACUGCAUUGAAACUGGCAAGCUAGAGUCUUGUAGAGGGGG
rnacentral:rRNA from 1 species